UAGCUAGUUGGUGAGGUAACGGCCCACCAAGGCGACGAUCAGUAGCCGGCCUGAGAGGGUGAACGGCCACAUUGGGACUGAGACACGGCCCAGACUCCUACGGGAGGCAGCAGUGGGGAAUAUUGCACAAUGGGGGAAACCCUGAUGCAGCGACGCCGCGUGGAGGAAGAAGGUCUUCGGAUUGUAAACUCCUGUUGUUGAGGAAGAUAAUGACGGUACUCAACAAGGAAGUGACGGCUAACUACGUGCCAGCAGCCGCGGUAAAACGUAGGUCACAAGCGUUGUCCGGAAUUACUGGGUGUAAAGGGAGCGCAGGCGGGAAGACAAGUUGGAAGUGAAAUCUAUGGGCUCAACCCAUAAACUGCUUUCAAAACUGUUUUUCUUGAGUAGUGCAGAGGUAGGCCGAAUUCCCGGUGUAGCGGUGGAAUGCGUAGAUAUCGGGAGGAACACCAGUGGCGAAGGCGGCCUACUGGGCACCAACUGACGCUGAGGCUCGAAAGUGUGGGUAGCAAACAGGAUUAGAUACCCUGGUAGUCCACACCGUAAACGAUGAUUACUAGGUGUUGGAGGAUUGACCCCUUCAGUGCCGCAGUUAACACAAUAAGUAAUCCACCUGGGGAGUACGACCGCAAGGUUGAAACUCAAAGGAAUUGACGGGGGCCCGCACAAGCAGUGGAGUAUGUGGUUUAAUUCGACGCAACGCGAAGAACCUUACCAAGUCUUGACAUCCCUUGACGAACAUAGAAAUAUGUUUUCUCUUCGGAGCAAGGAGACAGGUGGUGCAUGGUUGUCGUCAGCUCGUGUCGUGAGAUGUUGGGUUAAGUCCCGCAACGAGCGCAACCCUUACUGUCAGUUACUACGCAAGAGGACUCUGGCAGGACUGCCGUUGACAAAACGGAGGAAGGUGGGGAUGACGUCAAAUCAUCAUGCCCUUUAUGACUUGGGCUACACACGUACUACAAUGGCGUUAAACAAAGAGAAGCAAGACCGCGAGGUGGAGCAAAACUCAGAAACAACGUCCCAGUUCGGACUGCAGGCUGCAACUCGCCUGCACGAAGUCGGAAUUGCUAGUAAUCGUGGAUCAGCAUGCCACGGUGAAUACGUUCCCGGGCCUUGUACACACCGCCCGUCACACCAUGAGAGCCGGGGGGACCCGAAGUCGGUAGUCUAACCGCAAGGAGGACGCCGCCGAAGGUAAAACUGGUGAUUGGGGUGAAGUCGUAACAAGGUAG
rnacentral:rRNA from 1 species